CAAGUCGAACGAACUCUGGUAUUGAUUGGUGCUUGCAUCAUGAUUUACAUUUGAGUGAGUGGCGAACUGGUGAGUAACACGUGGGAAACCUGCCCAGAAGCGGGGGAUAACACCUGGAAACAGAUGCUAAUACCGCAUAACAACUUGGACCGCAUGGUCCGAGCUUGAAAGAUGGCUUCGGCUAUCACUUUUGGAUGGUCCCGCGGCGUAUUAGCUAGAUGGUGGGGUAACGGCUCACCAUGGCAAUGAUACGUAGCCGACCUGAGAGGGUAAUCGGCCACAUUGGGACUGAGACACGGCCCAAACUCCUACGGGAGGCAGCAGUAGGGAAUCUUCCACAAUGGACGAAAGUCUGAUGGAGCAACGCCGCGUGAGUGAAGAAGGGUUUCGGCUCGUAAAACUCUGUUGUUAAAGAAGAACAUAUCUGAGAGUAACUGUUCAGGUAUUGACGGUAUUUAACCAGAAAGCCACGGCUAACUACGUGCCAGCAGCCGCGGUAAUACGUAGGUGGCAAGCGUUGUCCGGAUUUAUUGGGCGUAAAGCGAGCGCAGGCGGUUUUUUAAGUCUGAUGUGAAAGCCUUCGGCUCAACCGAAGAAGUGCAUCGGAAACUGGGAAACUUGAGUGCAGAAGAGGACAGUGGAACUCCAUGUGUAGCGGUGAAAUGCGUAGAUAUAUGGAAGAACACCAGUGGCGAAGGCGGCUGUCUGGUCUGUAACUGACGCUGAGGCUCGAAAGUAUGGGUAGCAAACAGGAUUAGAUACCCUGGUAGUCCAUACCGUAAACGAUGAAUGCUAAGUGUUGGAGGGUUUCCGCCCUUCAGUGCUGCAGCUAACGCAUUAAGCAUUCCGCCUGGGGAGUACGGCCGCAAGGCUGAAACUCAAAGGAAUUGACGGGGGCCCGCACAAGCGGUGGAGCAUGUGGUUUAAUUCGAAGCUACGCGAAGAACCUUACCAGGUCUUGACAUACUAUGCAAAUCUAAGAGAUUAGACGUUCCCUUCGGGGACAUGGAUACAGGUGGUGCAUGGUUGUCGUCAGCUCGUGUCGUGAGAUGUUGGGUUAAGUCCCGCAACGAGCGCAACCCUUAUUAUCAGUUGCCAGCAUUAAGUUGGGCACUCUGGUGAGACUGCCGGUGACAAACCGGAGGAAGGUGGGGAUGACGUCAAAUCAUCAUGCCCCUUAUGACCUGGGCUACACACGUGCUACAAUGGAUGGUACAACGAGUUGCGAACUCGCGAGAGUAAGCUAAUCUCUUAAAGCCAUUCUCAGUUCGGAUUGUAGGCUGCAACUCGCCUACAUGAAGUCGGAAUCGCUAGUAAUCGCGGAUCAGCAUGCCGCGGUGAAUACGUUCCCGGGCCUUGUACACACCGCCCGUCACACCAUGAGAGUUUGUAACACCCAAAGUCGGUGGGGUAACCUUUUAGGAACCAGCCGCCUA
rnacentral:rRNA from 1 species